GCUAACGCGACCUCGCCCCCGUGGGAACUGUCCCGCCAGUGAAAAGGGUGGGUCGCACGUCCCAAAGAAAGGGGGUUGCUUAGGGGAAUUGCAGCAGCUAGAUUUGACCUUGUCAGACUUAACCAAAGUGGGGGCACGGGGCAAAUGGGCGAAUUCGCGGGAGGGGCUGUCCCAGGUGGAGGGCAAGUUUCCAGACUCGAGAACGCAGGCAGAGGCUGCAAGGAAGAACUUCUGGCUGGUGGAUGAGUGAACGGGUAAAUGAAAUGAGCUACGCUCUGGGACAUGAACUAAGCGGAGUGUGGAGGCACGGCCAUAAAAGAAAGUGAGCCGCUGACGUAAGGAAGAAGGGGCAAAGUCCUGCUGGAAAAUGGAGAACAGCCAGAAAUCAUGUAAGAAGCCCUGCACAUCUCAAAGCAGUUCCUUCACAGCCUGUACAGGAAUCCAUGGUGAACCAACCUUCACCCCUUUCACCCUCUCUUCUGGGACCUGGGUCUCCGUGGACUUACCCACAGGCCGAGACAAGUGGCGCCCCAACAUGGGACCCAAGAACAGGGGACUUAAUGAGGGACGCUGUUAGUGGGCCCAAAGUAGAAAAAGGAAAAGAAAAUAGAGGACCAACGUGGGAGCCUGCCAUGCCACUGAACCUCAGUUACCAUCAGAAGAAUGAAACUACAGCCAUUCACCCUUCCUAUGAGACAGCAAUGGCCAUGGGGGCUGGGAAGAGAAACGUGAAGCCAGUUCACCUUUUCCAUGAACCAGCAGUGGCCUCACAGGGCCAGGAAAAAAAAAACAAGAAGGCAAUUUACCCUUCAUGUGAGCCAACCAGCAGAUAG
rnacentral:lncRNA from 1 species